ACUUUGACCGUGCUAAGGUAGCACAAUCAAUUGGCCCUUAAUUAGGGUCAGGUAUGAAUGGAGUUACGGGGCUUAGCUGUCUCUAAACUAUUUAAUUGAAGUUGCUGUAUAGGUGAAAAAGCCUAUAUUAAGAAAAAAGACGAGAAGACCCUUAGAGUUUUACUUAAGAAAGAAUUAUUUCUUCACUAGUUUUGUUGGGGCAACAUAGGAGAAGAAUUAAACCUCCUAAAGCAUAUAAACCGAUGUUUUUAAAUAUGAAUAAACUACCUUAGGGAUAACAGCAUAAUUUUAAAAAUAAGUUUGUGACCUCGAUG
rnacentral:rRNA from 1 species